UUGGAGGGCAAGUCUGGUGCCAGCAGCCGCGGUAAUUCCAGCUCCAAUAGCGUAUAUUAAAGUUGUUGCAGUUAAAAAGCUCGUAGUUGAAUUUCGGGAUUGGCGUGUCGGUCGUGCCUUACGGGGUAUGAACUGGCGUCGUCGAUUUCUCACCUUCUGGAGAACCACGGUGCCCUUAAUUGGGUGUCGUGUGGAACCAGGACCUUUACCUUGAAAAAAUUAGAGUGUUUAAAGCAGGCAUUUUGCUCGAAUACAUUAGCAUGGAAUAAUAAAAUAGGACGGCUUGGUUCUAUUUUGUUGGUUUCUAGGAUCACCGUAAUGAUUAAUAGGGAUAGUUGGGGGCAUUAGUAUUCAAUUGUCAGAGGUGAAAUUCUUGGAUUUAUUGAAGACUAACUACUGCGAAAGCAUUUGCCAAGGAUGUUUUCAUUAAUCAAGAACGAAAGUUAGGGGAUCGAAGACGAUCAGAUACCGUCGUAGUCUUAACCAUAAACUAUGCCGACUAGGAAUCAGACGAUGUUAAUUUUUUAAUGACUCGUUUGGCACCUUACGGGAAAC
rnacentral:rRNA from 1 species